GCUUCCUGGUUUAAGACCCACUGCUGGUCAGAACUUGUUGCAGACCAAUGCACCACUAACGGUCCUCUGAGGUCUGCCUGUCGCUGUCUGUUUGACAGGAUCCUGUGGUUUUACUGGGUACAGUCAGAGGGUCAGUGUUCUGCUCACAGACACACCUCCUAUGCUGUUGGCUGGCUAUGAUCAGGGAUCCUUUCACAGUGACGUCAGUCCAGAGUUUGAACGCAUGGCCCACACCUGCGAGGCAAGUGGAUAAAGGUACCUGACAUGUCCAAACUCAGCAGCGGCAUGAAUGGGAAACUGAGGCCAGUCGUUGCUGCAGGCCAUGUUCGGAUCGGCGCCGUGAUCCAACAGGAGAUCCACACAAGCCUGGUGGCCUU